rnacentral:lncRNA from 1 species
ACAGGAUGAGACUCCAUUUAAAAAAAAAAAAGAGGAUGACAACACUGCCUGUCUCACUGGAAUCUUGUAAGGAUUAAAUGGUUACUGUUUUUAACGUAGUUGGAAGAGUUUGUGGUCCUGUGUUUGUUAAAUAUACACAAAUUAACUUCCCAGCUCACCCAUGCCUAGUAUUAUGCAAGGGGCUUCACAUCAAUUACCUUGUUUGGUCUUCACCACAGCCACAUGAGCUUGGAAUGACUAUUAUUAGGGAAAGUGGACCCAAGAAGGUCAAGUUCCUUGCCUGAGGUCACACAGCUAGUAAAAGGCAGAGCAAAGGUUGAAACUCAGGAUGGUCUGUCUCCAGGACCGGGGCUCUCCACCACUCGGGCCUGCCUAUUCCAGGGCUGGCAGCCUCUCUACAGAGGUGAAGCGUCUACUGGAUCACUUUUGACCAACAACACAUCAGCCGGCAGAGGAAGGAGGGGUGGGCCAAGAAGGGCCCCUUCCCUCUCAGGCCGGAGAGAUUCCUCUGACUAAUUUGCUGAGUGACUUCGAUGGCAAACUGCAGCCCUGUUCCCUCCAGCUGAGACUCCUCCGUCUUGCUCAUGACUGGGUCCCCUGGGCAGAGCCAGGUCCUGGCAGAGAGCAGAUAUCCAGUAAAUACCUCUUGGCCCUAAGAAUGACUGGGAACACUCAUGUAGCGAGAACACCUUCCUGUGUGUUAUCUCAUCUCAUCCUCACAGCAGCCCAGAGAGCGACCGCAGGUGCACACAGAUCUGAGGGCCUGAUCUGUUCCACUCUCUUUAUGCCAAACAGAGGAGGGACGCGAACCCCAGCAUGAAACGGCACCCACAACCACAAGGCCCGGUGUGCGCCCUCUGAAACCGUAGAUGAGGAAAAUGAGGCUCAUGCCACAUGCCUGAGAUCACACAGCUCAUAAGGGCUGGAGCCAGGAUUGAACCUUAGGGCUUAAAAAGCCUGGGACCUCUGCACCACUCCACCUCGACUUAUUUAUCCUGGUCACAAAGCACUGGAGGACUGCUCAGGCCCGUGGCCACUCUUCCCUCACUGGAGCAUUCCCAGCCUCUGCUAAGUGUCUGUCCUCUGGGUCUCUCUUGUCUCCCUCUCUGGACUCUGAGUCCUACAGGCCAGAGACUGCAUCCUGUCUGCUCCACACCCUAGCCUGGCACAUAGUUGCUUUUGGUAAGUCCUUGCCAGUUGAAGGCUCAUAGUGGAGACAUCUGUGCAGAGGGGUACCACGGCCAGCUGAGGCCUGGAAGUCUGGAGCCUGGACAUUCCAGAGCUCUUUGACGUAGCGCUUAGAGCACAGAAGUACAGUUUUCCCCACUGACCACAAACUUGGUCAUGAUUCUUCUAACCAUGCAGGAUAAUGCGACAUUUAAAAGCAUAGGCUUGGCUGGGCACAGUGGCUCAUGCCUGUAAUCCCAGCACUUUGGGAGGCCAAGGCUGGCGAAUCACUUGAG